GGGCCCGUAGCUCAGCCAGGUAGAGCGGCGGGCUUUUAACCGUGGGUCGCGGGAAGCGACCCGUAGGUCCCGGGUUCAAAUCCCGGCGGGCCCG
rnacentral:tRNA from 1 species